AUGCCGCACGAAGGCUAUUACGAAGCCUCUUUGCGUCCGCCGGCCUUGGAUGAUGCGCCGGCGGCGAAGGACUGGGGGGAAGUCCUCCUCGACCGCGUCGCUUACAUGGUCGACAAGAAAAACCAUACUUCCGUCAACCUUCAAUUCAAGAGGGAUCUGGACGGCAAGGAGGUGGAUCUGUGGGUCACUCUGUGCUUCGCCCGGCCGCCUCGUCUCUCCUAUUUCUGCUGCCACGCCUCCUGCCCCAACGACAAAGAAGAAGACACCCGCUUGUUCUUCCGCGAGCCUUUCGUGUUCGCCACGGAGGGUAACCUCGCCGUCAUCACCCUCUGCCACGGGCGCAGCCGCCCCUCCGCCUUCGGGUCCAAGAAGAACAACUACGAAUACUUGGUGUACCAGGCACCAUCCUCACCGGCGGGGAAGCCGGAGCUCAUCUGGGUCCCGCACAUCCCCGCCAGCAUGUUGCCAAGCACGGGAGUCGACUGCAUCCCUUCCAGCUCGAUUGGUGUCGUGCGUUACAACAGCAACAUUUUCACCCAUGCUCACCCCCACAAAAUCCCCCUCGCGCCCCCUGCCCCCAUCCUCAGCCCUGCCGUUGCACUUGCCCGCCCCAAAAGUUUCCCUUCCACGCCCCCAACCUCCGUCCUCAGCCCCUCCGUCGCCGCCCUCCCCAAGGAGGAUGAGGACUUCGAUGCCCACAGAAUCGUAGCGCUUGCCUACGACUAUUUCCACGACUCUGGCAAUAGCCCACAUGGCCCAUACUACCUGUGCAUCUACGACUCCAAAACCCAGGUUUGGACCCGCAAGCCAGCUGCUAUUCCACAGCCGCUGCUGCCAUUCGACUAUAUCUGCGACAUCGACAUGGUCAUCACCAUCGGUGGCUCCAGCCGUGGCAUCAUGGGCUGGGUCGACCUCUGGAAUGGCAUACUAUUCUCUGACGUGCUUGCAGACCACACACCCUACAGCCCGCUUCGCUAUGUCUCCCUUCCGAAGCCAAGGCAGCCGCAAAAUUGCCUCCCUAUUCCCCUGGACAUUGGAUGCCGCUUUCGGGACAUUGUCUUUGUCAAAGACUCUGGCAUCAUCAGGUUCGUUGACCUGCAGAUCCACACCGACCCCAACAUCCCUUACUCAGAAACCCCUAGUGGCUGGACGGUGGUCACAUGGAUCCUGGAGGGGCUCAAUGAGGGUUUGGAAACCCGGGGUGGUUUGAGCUUCCGGCAGGAGCACGAACUCCGUUCUAGUGAUAUCUCCAACUACAACUUGCCCCAGUCUCUAUUUGUUACCAACCCCAUUCUCAGCGCCCAUGAAGAUGGCUUCUUGUACCUCAGGACCAAUGUCAGUAGCAGAACCAGCAGCAACUCGAGAGUGAUCACUGUUGACAUCAAGCAUGGGAAGCUGCUGGAUGUGCAGGACUUCGAUAUGCAGAGACCCAACACCUACAUGCGCACCGCCAUCUCCAGCCAUCUCAUGCCCCCAGUUUCAAAGGAGAAUUUGAAACGACGAGCGACAGUGCCUCAGUGA
rnacentral:rRNA from 1 species